rnacentral:rRNA from 1 species
GACGUAGGGGGCGAGCGUUGUCCGGAUUUAUUGGGCGUAAAGAGCUCGUAGGCGGCUCAGCAAGUCAGGUGUGAAACCUCCAGGCUUAACCUGGAGACGCCACCUGAUACUGCUGUGGCUGGAGUCCGGUAGGGGAGCAGGGAAUAUCCGGUGUAGCGGUGAAAUGCUUAGAUAUCGUCAAGAACACCUAUAGCGAAGGCAGCUUACUAGGCUGUAACUGACGCUGAGGCACGAAAGUGUGGGGAUCAAACAGG